GACGAACGCUGGCGGCGUGCUUAACACAUGCAAGUCGAACGGAAAGGCCCUGCUUUUGUGGGGUGCUCGAGUGGCGAACGGGUGAGUAACACGUGAGUAACCUGCCCUUGACUUUGGGAUAACUUCAGGAAACUGGGGCUAAUACCGGAUAGGAGCUCCUGCUGCAUGGUGGGGGUUGGAAAGUUUCGGCGGUUGGGGAUGGACUCGCGGCUGAGCGGCGGGGUGGUGGGGGAGUGGCGUACCAAGGCGUUGACGGGUCGCCGGCCGGGGAGGGGGACCGGCGACAGGGGGAGUGAGAGACGGCCCAGACUCCGACGGGAGGCAGCAGUGGGGAAUAUUGCACAAUGGGCGGAAGCCUGAUGCAGCAACGCCGCGUGCGGGAUGACGGCCUUCGGGUUGUAAACCGCUUUCGCCUGUGACGAAGCGUGAGUGACGGUAAUGGGUAAAGAAGCACCGGCUAACUACGUG
rnacentral:rRNA from 1 species